UGGCUGCCUUAGGUGUCUAUGAGGGAAUCUUUGGGCUCCGGCGCGCGCCGCCUCAGUUUUUUCUGCGCACGCGCAGGCCGCCGCCGCCACCUCCUUACUCUGCUGCUGUAUGGCAGCCGGCUACCUAGCCGAGGCUUAUUUGACGGGGCGGGAGGGAAGCCGCUCUCAACUCUUUAGGCUUGCCUGGUGUGAAAUAAGUCCCGCAAGCACCCUGGUGCGCCUGCGCCGGAUAGCAGAAGGUUCCUACACCACCACCCCCCGGCCAGUCGGCUUCGCGCGCCUUAGCUCGAAGAUGCGCGUCCGUGUGUCGGGAGCGCGCGAUCCCCUGAAGUCUUGUGGCGGCCAGCCUUGCUUGCUUACUUGCUUGUUAGGCUUAUUCUUUGCUGCCCAGGCAACCGAAACAAAUACGUAUUUCGGGCGCUGAUUCUGGUGUGUGUGUGGAAAGAAUUAUAUACCAAAAGCUUGUAAGAUAUUUUUUAGGGAUACUUAUAUAUCACCUUUAAUUUUUAUUUUUUUUUUAAAAAACAACCACUUAGGGCUUAGGAGAGAGAGAAACCACAUAAACCAGAAUAGGUACCCCAUUAAAAUGUGGAAAUUAAAAAUAUUAAAAUCACAUUUUGCUUAACUAAACACCAGGCUGAAGUGUUAAAAGCACUUCCAGAAAAGCAAUACCUUGCAGGCUACCUCGUUUAUUGUAGAAUUAUUGUCAUUUUUGUACAAAAAAGUAUCAUGUAGCCCUUUCAAUUUAUUUAAAAAAGUCAUAUUUUUAAGUCAUACAUGAAUUUCACAUGAAAUCAAGGUACAGUUUAUUCCAUAUGCCAGAAUCUCCACAUCCAAUUGGAUAUCACAGUCUGUGUCUCUGUUAGAAUUACUUUUAAUAUGUUUUCUUUAAUAUAUUUUAACCCGUUUUUUAAAAAAAGAUGUUUUUAAAGCUUUUUAGAAAAUGUUUUUAACGUUUUGUUUUAAUGUAUUUUAAAGUUUUUUAUGAUGUUUUAAAGUGUUUUUAGUGUUUCUGUUUGCCGCCCUGGGCUCCUGCAGGGAGGAAGGGCAGGAUAUAAAUCAAAUAAUAAAUAAAUAAAUAUCAAGGAUGCUAUAGAGUGGUCACUGAAUUGCUGAUUUGGUGGAGGAUUUCAAAGCAUGCCUCAGACAAGUCUUCAAAUCUUGGUGUCAUCAACAUCUUUCAGCCGUCUUAAUACCUUCUUGAGAAAAAAGGUUCGCUUAUGCCUUGCUGGUUUUGACAAGGACAGGAGUUCUGAAACAGCUGUAUGGGUUCUGCUGGUAUCAAUUACCUAGAGAGGUAGUGGGCUCUCCGACACUGGAGGCAUUCAAGAGGCAUCUGUCGGGAAUGCUUUGAUUUGGAUUCCUGCAUUGCGCAGGGGGCGGGACUUGAUGGCCUUAUAGGCCCCUUCCAAAUCUACUAUUCUACGAUUCUAUGCUUUCAAAAGAGUGAAGAAGCAUAAGUAAGAGAAAUAAAAAUUAAUCUCAUACAAAACAAAUAAUUUCACAGAUAGUGUGAAGGCCUGUGCACACAUUCUAAAGGCCAAAGCCAUGCUUACAAGAAUUAGUGGCAAUGAUUUCAUUGCAAAGGAAGUUCCCUGUCAUUGGCUCUAUGGACUUCAAUACCAGAAGAGAACUGAACAGCUUCAGCUCAGGUGCAGGCAAGUUGAAAAACAGAAAAAGCUGGGAGCAUGAGAUCAGGAUGGUCCACUGGUGAGAACAUCUUUCAACAAGACCCAAGUUUAUCUCCUGAAGAGCAUUUAUGCCUACACGGUAUAUUUGCUAAUAGAAACCAGGUAUAGCAAGAACCUGGUGCUAUGCUAUAUCUGGGAAGGAAGAUCCUUGUGUAAGUAAUCUGUUUUAAUCUGUAAUUUACAGUCUGCCGUACAUUGUGCCAUUACUGAUUUUUAAUAUGCUACUAUAAGUAAAAAUCACAUUCCCAGUUUUUCUUUGUUCCAGCAAAGUAAGUUGGGUGUUUCAGGGUACUGUUGCAGCUCCUAAGAUUGUCUGUUGGAGCUGUAUCUGCAGAUCUGGAGAUCUCUAAGAAUGAGUUUUUAAAAACAGUAAAAUGGAGACUCAGAUUAUUGAAUUGUUCUUCAGCUGUAGUUUUCUGUUUGCUGCUUCCUGUUUUAUUUGUUUAUUUAUUAAAUCUUUAUCCCACUUUUAAUUUUUUUUCUUGAUUUUAUAUACAGUAGGGCCCUGCUUAUACGGCGGGCUCCGUUCCGGACCCCCGCCAUAAAGUGGAAAACGCCGUAAAGCGGAACCCCAUUGACUUUAAUGGGGCGCGUCACGCGAAAAUGCCGCAAAUGGCAAAAUCAGCUUUAAAAUUGAAAACGAAAGCCGCCGCAUUAGCGGAACGCCGGGAAGCGGGGCCCUACUGUAUAACAUACUUAACAUACAAAACAAACAUUUAUGUUACCAAGGUGAUACAUUAUACAGCAGGAUAUUUGUGUUCCACAUAGUAUCUACAUAGUAUACUACACAUAUUCAGAAUAGAUACAAGUGUCUUCAUUAGGUAGAAUGGAACUGAGGAAAUCCGAUUAUUGUUAAUCUAAGAGAGCCAGUGUGGUGUAGUGCUUAAGGUGUUGGACUACGACCUGGGAGACCAGGGUUCGAAUCCCCACAUAGCCAUGAAACUCACUGGGUGACCUUGGGCCAGUCACUGCCUCUCAGCCUCAGAGGACGGCAAUGGUAAACCCCCUCUGAAUACCGCUUGCCAUGAAAACCCUAUUCAUAGGGUCACCAUAAAUUGGGAUCGAUUUGAAGGCAGUCCAUUUCCAUUUCAUUGUGAUGGUAGCGUUACAUCAUUACCAGAUCUAUUAUACAAAAUAAAGCUCAUCCACUCCACACCAAACUUAAUUUUCAUCUCGGUUCCCCUGGCUAGGAAUAUUUUAAGAUAUUCCAGAUCUUUUUGAACCAGGAGUCUUUUGUGUUCCCUGCCAUGUUUUUCCAGAAAGGGGCAAUAGUUAAUUUGGCUGCUGUCAAUAUGUGACUGAUCUGUAUAAACCAUCAUUUAACAAACCAAGAUACCAAAAUCCUACUCCCUCAUGCACACAUUGGGGAGGAGGAAAAAUUGUUUGUUACGAUGUCAAGAUUUGCAGAACUUGAAAGAUGCACAUAGGCCCUUUUAACUGGCACACUGGUAUUUCCGUUCCUCUGACAGAAAAUGAGUAAAAAAAACCCUAUUUUAGAAUGGAAUUGUGAGUUUUUCACCCUAAUUUCAGUAUUCCAUCUUCCCAGUUGGUUUGACAUGUAAACCACAGAAAAAAUUAAACAGGCAGGCUAAACCAUUUUUAAAAAGCACCCAAUAAACUUGCAGACUGAUCCAUGUUCGCUCAGUCAAAUUUCCCUGAAUUCAGUGAAAUUUGAGAGUAAAUAUGCACCUAAGCAUAAUAACAUUAGACAGUCUGACAGCACAAUCCAAUGCUUAUCUGCUCAGAAACUGAUUUUAAUAUUCCUAGGUAAGUGUAUAUAGGAUUGUACCUUAAGGCUGUAAUCUUAUGCAAAGUGAAGUAUCAUGGAAAUUGGUUCAGCAGUAGUGGCUGCUCAGCUCCAAGUUUUCCUGGAUGAAUCGGAUUAUCUAGACCCUUUUCAAUCAGGCUUCAGGCCUGGUCAUGGGACAGAGACUGCCUUGGUCACCCUGCUUGAUGACUUACACCAUACAUCAGACGAGGGGAGUGCAUCCCUGUUGGUGCUGCUGGACCUCGGUUGCCUUCAAUAAGAUCGACCAUGGUAUCCUUCUGGGCCGUCUAGCUGGGAUGGGAUUGGGAGGCACUGUUUUACUGUGGCUGCGGUCCUACCUAAUGGACAGGACCCAGAAAGUGGUGCUGGGAGACUACUGCUCAGCUCCUUGGCCUGUGGGGUACCGCAAGGUUCCAUUUUGUCUCCCAUGCUCUUUAACAUUUAUAUGAAACACUGGGAGGGGUCAUCGGGAGAUUUGGAGUACAAUAUCAUCAGUGUCCUGAUGACACUCAGCUCUGUCUCUCCCUACCACCUGAUUGCAGGGAGGGAGUGCUCAUUCUAAACCAGUGCCUGGAGGCUGUGAAGGGCUGGAUGUGGGCUAACAAACUGAAACUUAAUCCAGACCAGACGGAAGUACUGCUGGUCAAGGGGAAAACUACACCAGGGACGGGGUUGCAACCUGUUCUGGAUGGGGUUGCACUCCCCUUGAAGGAGCAGGUCUGCAGUUUGGGAAUCCUGGAUCCUACCCUGCUGCUUGAAUAUCAGGUGGCUGCGGUAGCCAGGAGUGCUUUUGGCCAACUCAAACUGGUCUACCAGCUGCGUCCAUUCCUGGAGGAAGUUGACUUGGCCACAGUGACACAUUCAUUGGUGACAUGGAGGCUUGAUUACUGUAAUGCCCUCUAGGUGGGGCUGCCUUUGAAAACAGUUCGGAAAUUACCGUUGGUUCAAAAUGCAGCAGCCAGAAUGUUAACUGGAGCACAGCACAGGGAGCAUAUCGCCCCUGUGCUUUAUCGACUCCACUGGCUCCCAAUUUGCUUCUGGCCCCAAUUCAAAGUGCUGGUUCUGACCUUUAAAGCCCUAAACAACCUUGGACCGAUGUACCCGAGGGACCGUUUACGCUCAUAUGUACCUGCCCAGGAUUUAAGAUCACCUGCCUCUGGUCUCCUCUGCAUGCCUGGAGUGAAAGACGUUAAACUGACAGGCACGCAGGAGAGAGCUUUUUCAGCUGUGGCCCCCAAGCUCUGGAAUACCCUACCCCAAGAAGUCUGCACUGCUCCCUCCCUGUUGGUUUUCCAGAGACUUCUGAAAACGAUCUUUUUCCGGAGAGCCUUUGGGAGGGACUGAAGGUAGAGCCUGACACUGAUUUUAUGCCUUCUAUGUUAAAUUUUACCUUUGUGGUUCCUUUAGUACCACUUCCUCUGUCUCUGUGUGUGUGUGUGUGUGUGGUAUUUUAUGUAUUUUAAUUGUAUUUUAUGUAUUUUAAUGUUUUUGUGAUUUUACUGUUUACAGUUUUAUUAUGUAUGUGUUUGAUUUUAUUUUUGUAAGCUGCCCUGAGUGCCCUAUUAUAGGGUAGAAGGGCAGGAUAGAAAUAUUUUAAAAUAAAUAAAAAAUAAAUGCAUUAUUUGAUUUAUAUCCCACCUUUCCUCCCAGCUUUGGAACACCCUACCCCAAGAAGUCUGAUCUGCUCGCUCCCUAAUGGUUUUCCAGAGACUUCUGAAAACGAUCUUUUUCCAGAGAGCCUUUAGGAGGAACUGAAGGCAGUCUCCUCUCCUUCAUCCUUGAAGUUGUAACUAUCAGAAAUUGUUACAGGACUCUUUAUGUCCUUUACUACAGUAGAGUACCUGAAAAAACAGACCCUUGUCAUCCGUACUCCAAAUCCUGCCUCUUGUGACGCUACUGACAAGAUGCUUUCAUCUUCAGGAAGAGUUUCAGUUUCAUCUUUUGCUCUUCUGAAGAAAAGCCCAAAGAGAAGCUGGUUGAUGGAGUCUAUAUUUAAUGUUUGUGAACUAGCUGCUAUUCUGCUGAGAAGCCCCUAUGAACCCUCACAAGUUAAAGAUACAGAGAGGAUAUGAAGCCUCCAGCCUCUUCUGCAGCUCUUCCAGGGACAGAUCCCUCUUCUUGGGAGGAGAGGAAAGGAUUGGGCUCUCAGGGGACAAGUCAGAAGGUGACUUCAGAAUCACUUCAAAGCUCUGGCCAGAAGCCCUCUUGUCCAGCUGCUUGACUUCCAUAUCUGAGCAAGAGGAACACAGGCACCAAAAGGAUUAAGGGACAUGGCCUGUAGUGUCAAAUAAGGCCCUGAAAUUGGCAAAACCGGCCCCCUUCUUGUGAAUGCACAGGAUUGAGGGUUCUUCCUUUUUCCCCUUUACCUGAAUCUAUUCUGAGUCCUUACAGGUUAGAUGUUAGCUCACUUAAGCUUGCAAGUUUCCAAUAGCAGUUGUCUGAAUGUUUAAUGGUUAGAGACCCCACACAAAGAUUCUUGGGUCUUGGGGGGCAUCAGGAAAAUGAAUGGGGAACCAGACAACAGAAUAUUCAUCUCAUAUGCUAUUUAUUACUGUCUUACCCACUACAGCUAUUAAAUGCACUCUAGGUGGCUGCAGCCAUCAUAUCAGAAUCAGAAAAUAAGAAUAUCAGAAUAAGAUAUGUUGCUGUAUACAUUUAGUAUAUAUCAAAGUGUAGAAUCUGGAAAGAACAAAACCUAUUAGGUUACAGUAUUACACUGAACAGAGUCCAGACUCAAACUCUUGCAACAGUACAUAAUCAUACCGUUUCACAGUACAGUACAUAACGUUUCACAGUACAUAAACAUAUAAUAUGAUAUAUAAUGUGAUAAUAUUAUCUCUCACCAUCAGCUGACGUGGAUGGAAAAUAAAACACCUGCAGCUCUUCUACUAGUCUCCAGAAAGACUGGUACAGUACCCCAAGAGGUAUGGCUUUUUGUAUGUUUUCUUAUCAG